UUGAACUCAGGACCUCUGGAAGAGCAGUCAGCGCUCCUAACCCCCGAGCCAUCUCUCCAGCACUUCCUUUUAAGGAAUUUUUAUUGUAUUUAUUUAUGUGUGAGGUGAACGUGUGCCAUUGCUUGUAUGUGAAGGCCAAAGAAGAGUUUGCAGAAGUCAGUUUUCUCCUUCACUGUGGGAGUCAUGAGGAUUGAGCUCCUUGGUGGCAAAUAUCUUCUCAGCUGAGGGUGAGGAAACGCCUCCAUGAGAUCCAGCUGUACGGCAAUUUCUUGGUUAGUGGUCAGUGGGAGGGCCCAGCCCGUGACAGGUGGGACCAUCCUUGGAUCGGUGGUCUUGGGUUCUAUAAGAAAGCAGGCUGAACAAGCCAUGGGAAGCAAGCCAGUAAGCAGCACUCCUUUGUGUCCUCUGCAUGAGCUCCUGCCUCCAGGUUCAGCCCUGCUUGAGUUCCUGUCCUGACUUUCCUUGGUGAUGAACAGCAAUGUGGAAGUGUAAAUCAAAUCAACCCGUUCCCUCUCCUUCCCAACUUGUUUUCUGGUCAUGGUCUUUCAUCAGAGCUAUUGAGACACUGACUAAGACACCUGCUGGGCCAGCCUGUAGGUUCCUGUUUUGUUUUGUUUUGUUUUGUUUUUUCAUUUUUCUCCCCUAUUUUUCUCUCCAUCUUUCUUUCCCAGGAUCUCACCCUGUAGCCCUAUGUAGCUCACAGAGAUCUGCCAGCCUUUGUAUCUUGAGUGCUUAAGAAUGUGCUGCUGGGUCCACCAUCCCCAGGAUUUUUUCCCUAAUUUUUUUUCUUUUAUUAUAGCUGUCUCUAUCUCAUGAGUGCUGAGAUUAUAGGCAUGAACUACCAUACCUAGUUUAUAUCAUUGUCUUUUUUUUUUUUUUUUUUUUGGUUUUGGUUUUGGUUUCUGUGUAGCCCUGACUGUCCUGGAACUCACUCUGUAGACCAGGCUGGCCUCAAACUCAGAGAUCUGCCUGCCUCUGCCUCCCAAGUGCAGGGAUUAAAGGCGUGCGCUACCACUGCCCAGUCUUAUUGUCAUUUUUGAGAUGGACCCUUGUAUGUUAUUUGACUGGUCACAGGUUCUUGGAUUCAAGCCAUUUUCCUGCUUUUGUCCCUAGCAGCUGGAACUGUAGGGACACACUAUGCACGGUGAUAACUUGGUCUUGAAAACUGACCAGUUUGGGAAUAGUCAUUUUUGGAGACAUGAAUAAAAUUCACUCAGAUUUGCAAACAAGUCAUAGUUAGAAGAUGAUAGAAUUCACAAGUGGCUUUGAACCUUGAACUGGACAGCAGUGGUGUGUACAGUGGAGUUUGAUUUCUAGUCAGGAUUAGGACUCCAGCUAGUCACUGGCAGUCACUGAGACCCACUUGGUCAGCCUUCUUGGUUGCAGUGAGCAAGAGGGAAGUGAGGACUGCCAGACUGUUCUACUUCACUUCCCCUACAGUUAAAGGAAUCCAAACGCGCAGUGAAUAGCCUUCGAGACAUCGUGGAUGACGACGAUGACGAUGACCUGGAGAGAGUCAGCUGGACUGGAGAACCUGUGGGAAGUAAGCUGAAGAGACCCUAUGAGGGGUUCCUGUCAGGAGUGAAGGGUGUACCUCUCUCUCCUCGGUGCUGGUCAGAAACAGUUGUGCUAUUCUCAGAUGAUGCAGCCUGGAAGUUAAUAGCAGGCAGAGCCAUGUAGAGACACACAGCAGUAAUGCUUAUGUGGCUUCCUGGAUCUGCUGUUCUGGGCGAAUGCUUGGAAGGCUCUUUCAGAUGCCGCGUUUGUAAAAAUUACAGGUUCCUAGGCUUACCCUGGAGAGCCUUCUUAGUAGGUUUUUGUGGGGAAGGUGUGUGUUAAGAAUUGAAUGCAUGUUCCACCACUGAGUUACAGUCUCAGGUAGUUUUAUAUAUAUGUAUAUCUGGUCAUACUUGGGAGUUGUUAACUUAAAUCCUCAUAACAGGUUGGCAGAACUACUAUACUUAGCCAUCAAUUCUUAAUUAUAUACCACUUAAUUUCUUCAUAGACUGUCUAAUUCUCUUCCCUCCACUUUCCAUCUGAUUUGUUUUUGUUUUUGUUUUUCGAGACAGGGUUUUUCUGUGUACCCCUGGCUGUCCUGGAACUUACUCUGUAGACCAAGCUGGCCUCGAACUCAGAAAUCCACCUGCCUCUGCUUCCCAAGUGCUGGAAUUAAAGGCAUGCGCCACCACGCUCAGCCCAUCUGAUUUUUUUUUUUUUUUUUUUAAAGAUUUAUUUAUUAUUAUAUGUAAGUACACUGUAGCUGUCUUCAGACACACCAGAAGAGGGAGUCAGAUCUUGUUACGGAUGGUUGUGAGCCACCAUGUGGUUGCUGGGAUUCGAACUCUGGACCUUCAGAAGAGCAGUCGGGUGCUCUUACCCACUGAGCCAUCUCACCAGCCCCCAGCCCAUCUGAUUUUUAAAGUGUUUUUAAUUGAAAGUUUUUCCUAGAAGGUAGUGUAGCAUGAUUUUAAAACAAAAAAGAAAUUGGGCGUGAUGGUACAUACCUUUAAUCUCAGUACUUGGGAGGUAGAGCAGGUGGAUCUCUUGGGCUUGAGGGCAGCCUGGUCUACAAAGCAAGUUCCAGGAUAGCCAAGGCUACCUACC
rnacentral:lncRNA from 1 species